GGACCAAGGAGUCUAGCGUGUGCGCGAGUCAUUGGGAAUAACUAAACCUAAAGGCGCAAUGAAAGUAACGGUUCGCUUCAUGUGAACUAAGGGAAGAUGGUCGGUCUCCAUGACUGACCCGCAUUCCCGGGGCGCCUCAUUCUCAUUGCGAGAGGAGGCGCACCAAGAGCGUACACGCUGGGACCCGAAAGAUGGUGAACUAUGCCUGGUCAGGACGAAGUCAGGGGAAACCCUGAUGGAGGUCCGUAGCGAUUCUGACGUGCAAAUCGAUCGUCGGAACUGGGUAUA
rnacentral:rRNA from 1 species